UUUUCCUUGUGAUGACAGGAAUAUCAAAUGCUCAGGUUGUUCAAAUGUGCAUCUUUACUGUAGUUGUGUUGGUAGUACAAAAGUUCCUUUGGAAGAGCGCUCCUAUUUAAAAGACCAAAGGGAGAAAAUUGGUACUAAAGAAAAGUUUCAAAUAGGAGGUAUUGAUAACUCUGUUUUAUAACCUACCUCAAGAAAUACAAAGCAAACAAAAGCUUCUGAUGAAGAAAUUUAUAUUAAAGAGUUUGACACAAUCAUGGAUUCAGAUCAGUGUGAAACUUCAAUUUCAUCAUUAAAUCAGACUAGAUCAAAGUACUAUAACACUACCCACUAUCUCAAAUUUGCUUUAGAGAUAAUUAGAUAUGGAAUAUCAGAUAAAGCAGCUGCCCCUGUAGCUAAUGCUCUACUUCAAGAUAUUGGUUAUCUACAUCUUAAUGAUGCAAUUGACCCAAGUAAAAUGAAGAGAGAGAAAGAGCGAGUAUGCUUUAAUGCUAGUUUU